rnacentral:rRNA from 1 species
GACAGAGGAGCCAAGCGUUGUCCGGAUUGACUGGGCGUAAAGCGCACGCAGGCGGCUGUGCACGUGGGGUGUGAAAGCGCUCGGCUUAACUGGGGAACUGCGUCUGAUACUGGAUGGCUUGAGAUUGGGAGAGGGAUGCGGAAUUCCAGGUGUAGCGGUGAAAUGCGUAGAUAUCUGGAGGAACACCGGUGGCGAAGGCGGCAUCCUGGACCAACACUGACACUGAGGAGCGGAAAGCCAGGGGAGCAAACGGG